rnacentral:rRNA from 1 species
CCUACGGGUGGCAGCAGUGGGGAAUAUUGCACAAUGGGGGAAACCCUGAUGCAGCGACGCCGCGUGAGUGAAGAAGCGUUUCGGCGCGUAAAGCGCUGUCAGCGGGGAAGAAACACGGUUCGCGAGAGCCGCGGACGGUACCCGACCAAGAAGCCCCGGUCAACUACGUGCCAGCAGCCGCUGUAAGACGUAGGGGGCAAGCGUUAUCCGGCGUCACUGGGGGGAAAGGGAGCGUGGACGGCGAGACAAGUCUGGAGUGAAAGGCCGGGGCCCAACCCCGGGACGGCUCUGGAAACUGCCUGGCUGGAGUACAGGAGAGGUAAGUGGAAUUCCUAGUGUAGCGGUGAAAUGCGUAGAUAUUAGGAGGAACACCAGUGGCGAAGGCGGCUUACUGGACUGUAACUGACGUUGAGGCUCGAAAGCGUGGGGAGCAAACAGGAUUAGAUACCCGGGUAGUC